UUGAAGUUGGUGUGGGUACCCGCUCAUGCGGUCAACCCAGGUAAUGAGGCCGCCCACCUAGCCGCCCGAGCAGCAAGUAACCGGGAGGUGGGCCUGCCCGACCGGGUUGACCGACUUGAAGGUAUCCACACCUUUAACGAAAUGACCAUUUAUUACCGCGAAUCGAGGCGAAUAUAUCCAUCCCCGCACGAGACACUGACAAGAAUGCAGGCCAUUAACCUCAGGAGAGUACAGACUAGGUCUGUACUUAGUCCAAAAAGACUAGCUGCAAUGACCGGUGAUGAAUAUCCACCAAACUGCAAACAUUGUAACUGCCCCCUGGCGGACCAAGAUCACAUCUUGUGGGGAUGCCAAAAGAACCCUCCCCCGAGAGAACUCUUUAGGCGAGCUCCUUCACACGACGAGUGGGAGCAAAAGACCAAAACAUCCAAC
rnacentral:lncRNA from 1 species